AACGAACGCUGGCGGCAUGCCUAACACAUGCAAGUCGAACGAGAUCUUCGGGUCUAGUGGCGCACGGGUGCGUAACGCGUGGGAAUCUGCCCUUUGGUUCGGAAUAACAGUUGGAAACGACCGCUAAUACCGGAUGAUGAUGAAAGUCCAAAGAUCUAUCGCCAGAGGAUGAGCCCGCGUAGGAUUAGCUAGUUGGUGUGGUAAAGGCGCACCAAGGCGACGAUCCUUAGCUGGUCUGAGAGGAUGAUCAGCCACACUGGGACUGAGACACGGCCCAGACUCCUACGGGAGGCAGCAGUGGGGAAUAUUGGACAAUGGGCGAAAGCCUGAUCCAGCAAUGCCGCGUGAGUGAUGAAGGCCUUAGGGUUGUAAAGCUCUUUUACCCGGGAUGAUAAUGACAGUACCGGGAGAAUAAGCUCCGGCUAACUCCGUGCCAGCCGCCGCGGUAA
rnacentral:rRNA from 1 species